UCCUACAAAGCAACUAGCAACAAGAAGCAAUUCUUUGUAUGAGAAAUAUAGCUGUUCUUUUUUUAAGAUGUAGAAGAGGUUUCUUCAGAAAGAUGCAGAAGGAAGUUGAAAAAUGUGGUUUAAAAUUGCAUCACUUGGUUUUACGAAGUCAUGAAUUACAUCAGAUGAAGCAAUACAGCAGCUGAGUGUAGAAUGCAGAUGAAACAAUUUCCCUGCAGAGGACACUGCACUGUCACUUCCAAACCCAACAGGUGGUCAGAGGAGUGACUGUAAAUAUAGAACUGGGGAAGAGGAAACCUUACUGUGAGGUGGAGAGUCAAAAAGAAUUGUUGUGACUACAGUGGCAGAUGCUCAGUGAUAUCCCAGAAGAUGAGCAGAACUUGAAUGUGAAGAUAUUGAUUUUGCUGAAUCUGUUUGAAAAAGAUAUUCCAGAAGCAAAGAAAUACCAUUGAACAAGACAUUGGUGUUUUUGAUUCACAGGAUGACAGUGCAGUAAUUGGGAAGCUCAAAGGAGCAGUGGAAGCCCUCCACACUCUGCCCUCAGUCGAGAAGGAAAUGCAAAGAUGACUACGAGGCAUGAAAGGAAGUUUGCCUACAGAAGAACCUUCUCCCAGUGUAAAUACAUGCUUGAUAGUGCAUCAAAGAUGAGAUCUUUGUAAUUCCUGCAGUAUAUUUAAUGUAUAAUUUAUAUGAAAAGGACGCUUGAUUUGUAGUUGUAAAGUUUUGUAUACUUUUCAGUCUGUUUGUUUUUAUAUUUCCCCCCUAAGGCUAAGAAUAUCUCCACAAUGGACAACGUCUUGUAAAUAAUUAAUACCUACAUGAUUGAACGACGUGCUUUAUUUGCAUUUUUAAGAUUUUUUCCUACAUAAAACAGUAAUAAAAAUGCAAGUCAAAAUUUUAAUUUUUAAUAAAAAAACCAUAAGCCUUAGAAAACUGAUUAAAAAUACUUUUAUGUUAUCCCUAAUCACCCCGUUAAAUGGAAUGCCUGUGAUUAGCCUCAUUAAGAAUUUUAUACUGUGAAGAUUUUAUUAAAAGCAAUAUAUGAAAAUUACUUGGAUUAAUGUGUUAAUCUGCCUCUUUAAAAUGCUAAUAUCCAUUUUAUGCACAUUAAAUCUCAGUAUGUGUUUUCUUUGAUGCAUGCAGUUCCUAUCAAUUAAAUGUUAAAAAUUAGGCUAGUUGCAGGACUUAUUAAAUUACUGCACCCUUUUUUAAAAUAACUUUUACCCUUCUACUAACAUUAUAAUCAGCUGUUUAUGGUUACCAUAAUUUGAAGUAGGGGGAGGGCAGGUGCAAUCAUUUUCUGUACAGUAGAUGAUUUACUUGCAGCCAACAUCUGUCAAAGCAGAAGAAGAAGCCAUAGAGUAUCAGAUUUUGCUUCACCUACUUUGGGCUUUAGGGAUGUGCAACUGUUUUCAUUUGGGUUUUGUCACUUUUAGAACUUACAUCAAACAUAAACAAUAAAUUGUUGUAUCUGAAUAACUACUGUCUAGUGUGGAAAGUUAAUUUUACAGCUUUUAACCAAUCUCAGUGAAGGAUUUAAUUGAUAUUUUUAAUGGAGCUGUGAAUCAAUGCUGCAAAAGGAUUGUCUCUUGAGAACGAGGAUAUAAUACAUUUCAUUUUUUAAUUUACUUUUUUAUUUGUCAUUUUCUUCAAAGGAUUUUAUAGACUGUGGAUUUCCACUGUUUGCAAACAGGCUAUGUUUCUUCAUAAGCAUAUGUAAAGUAUUCAGAGAGAUAAGUAAUUUAUUAAAAUCUACCUAAUUUGCCGUGAUAUAUUAAAUCUCUGCUUCAGUGAUCACAGACCAUUUCAUUUAGAGAAUUAGGCAUUCCCUCUUUGUGUGAUUAAAGCUCUGGAAAAUGAGUUCUUUGCUCCUAUUUGUGAACAUUCAAAGCCUGCUAAUGGCAAGAAGAUGGAAUAGAUUAUGAGACAAUUCAUUACAGUUCAACAGAAAAAAACCCUGCUAUAAUGCAGAAAUGCAAGUAUGAAUAUCUGCAUAUAGUUUGAACCAUCUGUGCUCUAAUGGCUUCAGUAAUGGCUCUUCGUCUUCAGUAGGCUUUGAAAUGACAUCCAUACAAUAUUAAUUUGUUGAUGUACAUUAUGAGGCCAAUGGAAUGAAUAUAUUCUGACCACAGUAAUCUCUGAAUUCCUGCGUGGUCUGCUGGUUGACUCCAUUUUAGGACUUACCAUCUUCUGUAGGGCUUCUCAUCCAGACUUUGCCAAUCCUCAUAGCAUUUCAUUCCUCUGGAACUUUAGGAGACCACAGACAGCUGCAUUCCUAAACCCCUCCAUUCUUCAGUUAAUGGCCAUAUGUUUGUUGUCAUUUGGGCUGGCACUUAGUUCAUCAUUUUGGCCACUAUUUCUAGCUUUUUUUGGCUCUGUGCAUCCACAUUGUCAAUAAGACUGUUAUUAUACAUUACAAUAAUUUGAAACAGCCAGAUUCAACACUAAGAUUAACUGAGUGGCUUUUUAGAAAUUUAGUUGUGGUAUUCUGUCAGGAGGUUCUUAUUAUUCUUCUAAUACUUUGCAAACCAAACUAAAUAUCCUGCACAUAAACAAAGAAGUGAAUUGUAUUGAGUUUUUGUGUGUGACUGUUUACUGACUUGUAGGGGAACUAUGUUAACUGGUGCUUGUUUUCUUCUGAAAUAAACCAUGUGGUAAAAUUAGAAAAUCA